GACGAACGCUGGCGGCGUGCCUAAUACAUGCAAGUCGAGCGCUGAAGGUUGGUACUUGUACCAACUUGGUGAGCAGCGAACGGGCGAGUAACGCGUGGGGAAUCUGCCUUUGAUCGGGGGACAACAUUGGGAAUCGAAUUCUAAUACCGCAUAACAAUUUUAAACAUAAGUUUUAAGUUUGAAAGAUGCAAUUGCAUCACCUAACGAUGAUCCCGCGUUGUAUUAGCUAGGUGGUGAGGUAAAGGCUCACCAAGGCGAGGAUACAUAGCCGACCUGGGAGGGUGGUCGGCCACAUUGGGACGGGGACACGGCCAAAGCGACUACGGGACGGAGCAGUAGCGAAUCGUCGGCAAUGGACGAGAGUCUUGCCGAACGACGCCGAGUGAGUGGAGGAGGUUUUCGGAUCGUAAAAAUCGGUUGGUAGAGAAGAACGUUGGUGGGAAUGGAAAGCUCAUAAAGUGCCGUUAACUGAGCAGAAAGGGACGGCUAACUCCGUG
rnacentral:rRNA from 1 species